rnacentral:rRNA from 1 species
AGAGUUUGAUCCUGGCUCAGAGUGAACGCUGGCGGCAGGCCUAACACAUGCAAGUCGAACGGCAGCACAGUAAGAGCUUGCUCUUAUGGGUGGCGAGUGGCGGACGGGUGAGGAAUACAUCGGAAUCUACUCUUUCGUGGGGGAUAACGUAGGGAAACUUACGCUAAUACCGCAUACGACCUACGGGUGAAAGCGGAGGACCUUCGGGCUUCGCGCGGUUGAAUGAGCCGAUGUCGGAUUAGCUAGUUGGCGGGGUAAAGGCCCACCAAGGCGACGAUCCGUAGCUGGUCUGAGAGGAUGAUCAGCCACACUGGAACUGAGACACGGUCCAGACUCCUACGGGAGGCAGCAGUGGGGAAUAUUGGACAAUGGGCGCAAGCCUGAUCCAGCCAUGCCGCGUGGGUGAAGAAGGCCUUCGGGUUGUAAAGCCCUUUUGUUGGGAAAGAAAAGCAGUCGGUUAAUACCCGAUUGUUCUGACGGUACCCAAAGAAUAAGCACCGGCUAACUUCGUGCCAGCAGCCGCGGUAAUACGAAGGGUGCAAGCGUUACUCGGAAUUACUGGGCGUAAAGCGUGCGUAGGUGGUGGUUUAAGUCUGUUGUGAAAGCCCUGGGCUCAACCUGGGAAUUGCAGUGGAUACUGGGUCACUAGAGUGUGGUAGAGGGUAGCGGAAUUCCCGGUGUAGCAGUGAAAUGCGUAGAGAUCGGGAGGAACAUCCGUGGCGAAGGCGGCUACCUGGACCAACACUGACACUGAGGCACGAAAGCGUGGGGAGCAAACAGGAUUAGAUACCCUGGUAGUCCACGCCCUAAACGAUGCGAACUGGAUGUUGGGUGCAAUUUGGCACGCAGUAUCGAAGCUAACGCGUUAAGUUCGCCGCCUGGGGAGUACGGUCGCAAGACUGAAACUCAAAGGAAUUGACGGGGGCCCGCACAAGCGGUGGAGUAUGUGGUUUAAUUCGAUGCAACGCGAAGAACCUUACCUGGUCUUGACAUCCACGGAACUUUCCAGAGAUGGAUUGGUGCCUUCGGGAACCGUGAGACAGGU